GAUGAACGCUGGCGGCGUGCUUAACACAUGCAAGUCGAACGGAAAGGCUCCUGCUUGCAGGGGUACUCGAGUGGCGAACGGGUGAGUAACACGUGGGUGAUCUGCCCUGCACUUCGGGAUAAGCCUGGGAAACUGGGUCUAAUACCGGAUAGGACGAUGGUUUGGAUGCCAUUGUGGAAAGUUUUUCGGUGUGGGAUGAGCUCGCGGCCUAUCAGCUUGUUGGUGGGGUAAUGGCCUACCAAGGCGUCGACGGGUAGCCGGCCUGAGAGGGUGUACGGCCACAUUGGGACUGAGAUACGGACCAGACUCCUACGGGAGGCAGCAGUGGGGAAUAUUGCACAAUGGGCGCAAGCCUGAUGCAGCGACGCCGCGUGGGGGAUGACGGCCUUCGGGUUGUAAACUCCUUUCGCUAGGGACGAAGCGAAAGUGACGGUACCUGGAGAAGAAGCACCGGCUAACUACGUG
rnacentral:rRNA from 1 species